UACGUAGGCAGCAAGCGUUGUUCGGAGUUACUGGGCGUAAAGGGCGCGUAGGCGGCCUUCUAAGUCAGACGUGAAAUCCUCCGGCUUAACCUGGGAACUGCGUCUGAUACUGGAAGGCUUGAGUGCGGGAGAGGGAAGUGGAAUUCCAGGUGUAGCGGUGAAAUGCGUAGAUAUCUGGAGGAACACCGGUGGCGAAGGCGGCAUCCUGGACCGACACUGACGCUGAGGCGCGAAAGCUAGGGUAGCAAACGGG
rnacentral:rRNA from 1 species